rnacentral:rRNA from 1 species
UACGUAGGGCGCAAGCGUUGUCCGGAACUAUUGGGCGUAAAGAGCUCGUAGGCGGCUUGUCACGUCGAUUGUGAAAGCCCGAGGCUUAACCUCGGGUCUGCAGUCGAUACGGGCUAGCUAGAGUGUGGUAGGGGAGAUCGGAAUUCCUGGUGUAGCGGUGAAAUGCGCAGAUAUCAGGAGGAACACCGGUGGCGAAGGCGGAUCUCUGGGCCAUUACUGACGCUGAGGUGCGAAAGCGUGGGGAGCAAACAGG